GAGUUUGAUCGUGGCUCAGAGCGAACGCUGGCGGCAGGCCUAACACAUGCAAGUCGAACGGAUCCUUCGGGAUUAGUGGCGGACGGGUGAGUAACACGUGGGAACGUGCCCUUUGGUUCGGGACAACUCAGGGAAACUUGAGCUAAUACCGGAUGUGCCCUUCGGGGAAGAUUUAUCGCCAUUGGAGCGGCCCGCGUCUGAUUAGCUUGUUGGUGAGGUAAAGGCUCACCAAGGCUACGAUCAGUAGCUGGUCUGAGAGGAUGAUCAGCCACAUUGGGACUGAGACACGGCCCAAACUCCUACGGGAGGCAGCAGUGGGGAAUCUUGCGCAAUGGGCGAAAGCCUGACGCAGCCAUGCCGCGUGAAUGAUGAAGGUCUUAGGAUUGUAAAAUUCUUUCAGCAGGGACGAUAAUGACGGUACCUGCAGAAGAAGCCCCGGCUAACUUCGUGCCAGCCGCCGCGGUAAC
rnacentral:rRNA from 1 species